ACGCACGUGUGAAACUUGAAGGAAUUGACGGAAGGGCACCACAAGAACGCGUGGAGCAUGUGGCUUAAUUUGACUCAACCCGGGAAAUCUUACCAGGUCCAGACAUAUUGAGGAUUGACAGGCGAUAGUAUAUAAAAUAUAUUUUUAUAUGCAUAAAAAUGAUAGUCCUUUCAUGAUUAUAUGAUAGGUGGUGCAUGGCCGUUCUUAGUUCGUGGAGUGAUUUGUCUGCUUAAUUGCGUUUCAGUAAAUAAAAUAUAUAAUAUAUUAUAAUAUUUAGUUCUGCCAUUUAUUUAUGGAUUUAAAGUGAACAUAUUAUAUAUAUUAUUAUAUAAUAAAUGAAUGCAACGAACGUGACCGUAACCUUUUAUUGCUAUUGAAAAUUAUAAUUAUAGCAUAAAAUUAAAGGAACCGCUGUCAUAACUAAAUAUGUGUUAAAAUAGAGUAAGAUUAUGGCAAUAACAGGUCUGUGAUGCCCUCAGAUGUUCUGGGCUGCACACGUGCUACAAUAAUUACAUUAAUAAGUAUAUAUACUUUAUAAUAUAUAAUAUUAUAUUACAACCUAUUUCGAAAGUAAAUCGGUAAUCAUUUAAAAAUCGUGAUUAAUUAAUAUAAAUAUAAUUAAUUUAAGGUGGGGAUAGUGUAUUGUUAAUUAUUACACUUGGCCUUAACUAGGAAUGCCUUGUACUCUUCUUUGGUUUAACAUACCAAGAGGAAUACGUCCCUGCCCUUUGUACACACCGCCCGUCGCUCUUACCGAUGAAUUAUAUUAUAAAUCUAAGGGAUUUAUUAUAAUUAAAAUAUAAAAAACUUAUAUACAUAAUGGAUUUAAAGGAAAGAGAAGUCGAACAAGGCA
rnacentral:rRNA from 1 species